AGCAGCCGCGGUAAUUCCAGCUCCAAUAGCGUAUAUUAAAGUUGUUGCAGUUAAAAAGCUCGUAGUUGAAUUUCGGGGUCAGUAGGUCGGUCGUGCCACUGGUAUGAACUGGUUUUACUGAUUCCUCCCUCUUGAAGAACUGUAAUGCCAUUAAUUUGGUGUUGCAGGGAAUCAGGACUGUUACUUUGAAAAAUUAGAGUGUUUAAAGCAGGCUUUAGCUUGAAUACAUUAGCAUGGAAUAAUGAAAUAGGACGUUUGGUCCUAUUUUGUUGGUUUCUAGGAUUGACGUAAUGAUUAAUAGGGAUAGUUGGGGGCAUUAGUAUUCAAUUGUCAGAGGUGAAAUUCUUGGAUUUAUUGAAGACUAACUACUGCGAAAGCAUUUGCCAAGGAUGUUUUCAUUAAUCAAGAACGAAAGUUAGGGGAUCGAAGACGAUCAGAUACCGUCGUAGU
rnacentral:rRNA from 1 species